rnacentral:rRNA from 1 species
UACGUAGGUGGCAUGCGUUGUCCGGAAUUAUUGGGCGUAAAGCGCGCGCAGGCGGUCCUUUAAGUCUGAUGUGAAAGCCCACGGCUCAACCGUGGAGGGUCAUUGGAAACUGGGGGACUUGAGUACAGAAGAGAAGAGUGGAAUUCCACGUGUAGCGGUGAAAUGCGUAGAGAUGUGGAGGAACACCAGUGGCGAAGGCGACUCUUUGGUCUGUAACUGACGCUGAGGCGCGAAAGCGUGGGGAGCAAACAGG